UACAGAGACCUCAAACGUUAUCCGGAAUAACUGGGCGUAAAGCGUGCCGAUCGGCGGUUUGGUAAGUCUUUGGUGAAAGCUCCGAGCUCAACUCGGUAAUUGCCAAGGAAACUAUCAGACUAGAGGGGCAAAGAGGGAACUGGAACUCUCGGUGUAGCGGUGAAAUGCGUUGAUAUCGAGAGGAACACUCAUAGCGAAGGCAAGUUCCUGGGUGCCACCUGACGCUGCUAGGACGAAAGCGUGGGGAGCGAAUGGG
rnacentral:misc_RNA from 1 species